AGUGAACGCUGGCGGUAGGCCUAACACAUGCAAGUCGAACGGCAGCACAGUAAGAGCUUGCUCUUACGGUUGGCGAGUGGCGGACGGGUGAGGAAUACAUCGGAAUCUACUUUUUCGUGGGGGAUAACGUAGGGAAACUUACGCUAAUACCGCAUACGACCUACGGGUGAAAGCAGGGGAUCUUCGGACCUUGCGCGAUUGAAUGAGCCGAUGUCGGAUUAGCUAGUUGGCGGGGUAAAGGCCCACCAAGGCGACGAUCCGUAGCUGGUCUGAGAGGAUGAUCAGCCACACUGGAACUGAGACACGGUCCAGACUCCUACGGGAGGCAGCAGUGGGGAAUAUUGGACAAAGGGCGCAAGCCUGCUCCAGCCAUACCGCGUGGGUGAAGAAGGCCUUCGGGUUGUAAAGCCCUUUUGUUGGGAAAGAAAAGCAGCAGGUUAAUACCCCGCUGUUCUGACGGUACCCAAAGAAUAAGCACCGGCUAACUUCGUG
rnacentral:rRNA from 1 species